rnacentral:rRNA from 1 species
CCUACGGGAGGCAGCAGUGAGGAAUAUUGGUCAAUGGGCGUGAGCCUGAACCAGCCAAGUCGCGUGAGGGAUGACGGUCCUACGGAUUGUAAACCUCUUUUGCCGGGGAGCAAGGGUGGGUACGUGAACGCGGGCUGAGAGUACCCGGAGAAAAAGCAUCGGCUAACUCCGUGCCAGCAGCCGCGGUAAUACGGAGGAUGCGGGCGUUAUCCGGAUUUAUUGGGUUUAAAGGGUGCGUAGGCGGGAUGCCAAGUCAGCGGUAAAAUUGCGGGGCUCAACCCCGGUGAGCCGUUGAAACUGGCGUUCUUGAGUGGGCGAGAGGUAUGCGGAAUGCGGGGUGUAGCGGUGAAAUGCAUAGAUAUCACGCAGAACUCCGAUUGCGAAGGCAGCAUACCGGCGCCCAACUGACGCUGAAGCACGAAAGCGUGGGUAUCGAACAGGAUUAGAUACCCCUGUAGUC